rnacentral:rRNA from 1 species
GACGAACGCUGGCGGCGUGCCUAACACAUGCAAGUCGUGCGGGAAAGCGGGGGUAACUCUGCAAGUACAGCGGCGCACGGGUGAGUAACACGUAGGUAACCUACCUCCGGGACCGGGAUAACCUGUCGAAAGACGGGCUAAUACCAGAUAAGACCACCGAGGUUGCGGCUUCGGCGGUAAAAGAAUGGCCUCUGCUUGCAAGCUAUCACUUGGAGAUGGGCCUGCGCGCCAUUAGCAGG